GUCCAUAUCUCAGAUACUAUAAGCAAUAGGGCUAGUAUAUUCGGUGUAUGGAAGGACUGUAAGGUGUACAUGUCCAACUGGCAGGUGUCAUCUGACCUUGACCUCAUUUUCAUGGUUCAGUGGUUAUAGUUAAAUUUUUGUGUUUUGGUCUGUUUUUCUCAUACCAUAUGCAAUAGGUCUACUAUAUUUGUUGUAUGGAAUGAUUGUUAAGUGUACAUGUCUAGCGGGCAG
rnacentral:lncRNA from 1 species